GCGCCGCUAGCUCAAUUGGUAGAGCAGCUGGCUCUUAACCAGCGGGUUCGGGGUUCGAGUCCCUGGCGGCGCACCA
rnacentral:tRNA from 1 species